rnacentral:rRNA from 1 species
AUCGGGAUUAGAUACCCCGGUAGUCCACGCCGUAAACGAUAGAUGCUGGGUGUCGGUUCGGUUUUCGGAUCGGUGCCGAAGCAAACGCGUUAAGCAUCUCACCUGGGGACUACGACCGCAAGGUUGAAACCCAAAGGAAUUGACGGGGGCCCGCACAACCGGUGGAGCAUGUGGUUUAAUUCGAUGGUACGCGAAGAACCUUACCUGGGCUUGACAUGCUGGUAGUACAGACCCGAAAGGGAAAGGAUCCCGACUUUGUCGGGAAGCCAGCACAGGUGGUGCAUGGCUGUCGUCAGCUCGUGCCGUGAGGUGUUGGGUUAAGUCCCGGAACGAGCGCAACCCUUGCCUGCAGUUACUCGCCUUUAUAGGCAGCACUCUGCAGGGACUGCCGUGGUUAACACGGAGGAAGGUGGGGAUGACGUCAAGUCAUCACGCCCCUUAUGUCCAGGGCUACACACGUGCUACAAUGGCCGAUACAGAGGGAUGCAAAGCCGUGAGGUGGAGCAAAUCUCAAAAAGUUGGCCCCAGUUCAGAUUGCAGGCUGCAAUCCGCCUGCAUGAAGCUGGAAUCGGUAGUAAUCGCGGAUCAGCCACGCCGCGGUGAAUACGUUCUCGGGCCUUGUACACACCGCCCGUCACGCCAGCUGAGUCAAGGGCGCCUGAAGAUAUUUUAUCCAACCCGCAAGGGAAGGAGAAUAUCCAAGGCGAACUUGGCAAGGAGGGCGAAGUCGUAACAAGGCAGCCGUACCGGAAGGUGCGGCUG